CAAGAACCGCAUGGUUCUUGGCUGAAAGAUGGCGAACGCUGUCGCGUUAGGAUGGACCCGCGGCGUAAGGUUGAUCGGCCAAAUUGGAACUGAGACGCGGCCCAAACUCCUACGGUAGGCAGCAUUAGCUAGUUGGGGAGGUAAUGGCUCACCAAGGGUACGAUACGUUGCCGAACUGAGGUAGGGAAUCUUUCACAAGGGACGCAAGUCUGAUGGAUCAACGCCGCGUGAGUGAAGAAGGCUUUCGGGUCGUAAAACUCUGUUGUUGGAGAAGAAUGGUCGGCAGAGUAACUGUUGUCUGCGUGACGGUAUCCGACCAGAAACCCUCGGCUAACUACUUGCCGGCAGCCGUGGUAAUACGUAGGUGGUAACCGUUUUCUGGUUUUAUUGGGCGUAAAGCGAGCGCAGGCGGUUUUUUAAGUCUGAUGUGAAAGCUCUCUGCUUAUCCGAGGAAGCGCAUCGGAAAUUGGAAAACUUGAGUGCAGAAGAGGACAGUGUAACUCCUUGUGUAUCGGUAAAUUGCGUAGAUAUAU
rnacentral:rRNA from 1 species